rnacentral:rRNA from 1 species
GAUGAACGCUGGCGGCGUGCCUAAUACAUGCAAGUCGAGCGAACAGACGAGGAGCUUGCUCCUCUGACGUUAGCGGCGGACGGGUGAGUAACACGUGGAUAACCUACCUAUAAGACUGGGAUAACUUCGGGAAACCGGAGCUAAUACCGGAUAAUAUAUUGAACCGCAUGGUUCAAUAGUGAAAGACGGUUUUGCUGUCACUUAUAGAUGGAUCCGCGCCGCAUUAGCUAGUUGGUAAGGUAACGGCUUACCAAGGCGACGAUGCGUAGCCGACCUGAGAGGGUGAUCGGACACAUUGGAACUGGGACACGGUCCAGACUCCUAGGGGAGGCAGCAGUAGGGAAUCUUCCGCAAUGGGCGGAAGCCUGACGGAGCAACGCCGCGUGAGUGAUGAAGGUCUUCGGAUCGUAAAACUCUGUUAUUAGGGAAGAACAAAUGUGUAAGUAACUAUGCACGUCUUGACGGUACCUAAUCAGAAAGCCACGGCUAACUACGUG